rnacentral:rRNA from 1 species
AAUCCACACGACUCUCGGCAACGGAUAUCUCGGCUCUCGCAUCGAUGAAGAACGUAGCGACAUGCGAUACCUGGUGUGAAUUGCAGAAUCCCGCGAACCAUCGAGUCUUUGAACGCAAGUUGCGCCCGAGGCCACUCGGCCGAGGGGCAGCCUGCCUGGGCGUCACGC